ensembl:lincRNA
AUGCCCAGAACUCAGAUGAGAUGGAGGGGUGAACCAAGAGAACAGGUGGAGCCAGAAUGGGCAUCAUCAACGGGUGGUGAAUUACGACUUCCUGCAUAUGGAGUGCCUCAUUAUGCUUCCAGCAUACAGUAUGUAUCGCAUCAGGAAGAUUUGCUGUCUUCUUGGUCUGGUAGGUCCCUAACUUCCUUAUCUAUGCUUAACACAUCCUAUGAUUUUCCUUCAUCCCAUUUUUCUUCUUUUUCAGAGCAGAAAUGAAUAUUCACAAACAAAAUAGCAAAUGCACAUUACUCACUUCCUGCUGAGCUGUGAGUGAUUUGCAGUAUCUCUCAGAUACCUUCUCCUAAGAUUUCUCCAGUCUCUCAGCCCUUUUGUAGUGCAAGGUUUUAAAGAUGAGGGGCUUCACAUUACCUGCCUGGCCAUCUGAACUAGGAGUUUUUGAUCCCAGGUUUAAGCCGCCAUCGCCUGUGUUUUUUGCCUGUCCUCCCUAGUCCCACUUUCUCUCUGGCUCAGGUUUUUUUCCCCCAAUUUUCAUGUAUUGAGCCCUGUGGUUUUGAAUGCAUUAAAUUCUUUGUAAAAACAGGCAAUGUGCAAAUAGGCACUUACAAGUCACUGACCAGUGAUCUGGCAUUACAGGUUUACUUUUGCCUUUAGCCUAAUUUCUUUUAUGCCUGGACCAAUUUCAUUUAGGUUCUGUCACUACCUGAAGCAAAAGAUUGGUAACACUAAACAGCAUUUGCAAAACUCAAGGCUCAGAAUGUCAAUCAGGUUCCUAACUGAAUUGUCAUGGAGGUGCCUCGUAGUAGUGUAUGUGUCACUCAUUUUGCUAGCAUGUGCAAAUUUAGCUUUUGUAUAACAUGUACACUUUUCUUCCCACAGGACUCAUUGACUAUUGAGAUUUUAUGCAGCUGGCUACCAGAUUCUACAUUUCCUUGUAAGAAUAUUUGAAUAUAUUAGUUGGCCCCAAAAUAAUGGCAAAAACCACAAUCACUUUCACACCAACCUAAUAAUUAAAAAGGAGAAUAAGACAUUCAAAAGAGUUUCUUUCUGUUUUGUCAAAUAAACGUCAAGCAAGACGGAAAAAUGUCACCCAGAAAGAAGUGGUCAGCAUUAUUCAUCCAUUAGAAAUGGAUGUACCAAUCAUAAUUAGAGAUAAAAUCUGAACUUAUAUCUGCAUUGAUUUAUUUUCUAUUGCUUCUAAUUUUUUUCUCUUCUGAU